UACGUAGGGUGCAAGCGUUGUCCGGAAUUAUUGGGCGUAAAGAGCUCGUAGGCGGUCUGUCACGUCGGACGUGAAAAUCCAGGGCUCAACCCUGGACCUGCGUUCGAUACGGGCAGACUAGAGUUCGGUAGGGGAGACUGGAAUUCCUGGUGUAGCGGUGAAAUGCGCAGAUAUCAGGAGGAACACCGGUGGCGAAGGCGGCAUCCUGGACCGGUAUUGACGCUGAUGCGCGAAAGCCAGGGGAGCAAACGGG
rnacentral:rRNA from 1 species